rnacentral:misc_RNA from 1 species
GAUGAAGAACGUAGCGAAAUGCGAUAAGUAGUGUGAAUUGCAGAAUUCAGUGAAUCAUCGAAUCUUUGAACGCACAUUGCGCCCCUUGGUAUCCCGAGGGGCAUGCCUGUUCGAGCGUCAUUUCACCACUCAAGCCUGGCUUGGUGUUGGGCGACGUCCCCUUUGGGGACGCGCCUCGAAGCGCUCGGCGGCGUGGCACCGGCUUUAAGCGUAGCAGAAUCUUUCGCUUUGGAAGUCGGGGCCCCGUCUGCCGGAAGACCUACUCGCAAGGUUGACCUCGGAUCAGGCAGGGAUACCCGCUGAACUUAAGCAUAUCAAUAAGCGGAGGA